GAAUGUUUAGAAACAGAGGGGGAAACGAAUCAGCGAACAAAAGAAAGUCACCAAUACCUAUCGGCAGCAGUAGUGGCGCGCAGUCUCGUUCGGCUCGACGGCGAACAAUGGAAAGCCAACGGCGGCGCGGUGACGCAUUCUUCGUCUCUUCCUUUCGUUCCCGUUCUGCGUGGUCGUUAUCGGAGGAACCCUUCGGUGUCCCUUCGGAAGCCGAGUUAUAAAAGCGGCUCGCGCAACUCAUAAACCAUUCACAGUUCAGUGAGCAUUCAGUGAGUGAAGAUCGUGUCGUCUCAGAACAGAAGCGCGUGGAGGAGCGUUUCUCGAGGGAGCUCAAGGGCUCCCUUGGGUCCUCCGGCAAGGAAGAUAAGCGAAUUCCAAAAUCAGGAAGAUGGAAGUGGCAGAACUUUAAAGUUUGUGACUUGUUGAAAAAGUUUGUGUUGAAAUCUGCGGAUCUGUUGAGUGAGAAUUCGAGCAAGAAAUGCAAACCGAUCGAGACACGUCAGUACAGUGGUGAUUUGGACAAAAGAAGCUGUGGGAAGCUGAAGCGGGGGUGAUCGAGUGCCCUAUCAGGGACGCAUUCGCAAGGACGGCUUCCACAAGGACGCUGGGAUUCGGAAAGAGGAACUCAGUCGAGUGAUGCUCGCAUUUUUUCACCAUUCACAAAGAGGAAGAAGCAGCGAUAUCAUCGAAGCAACCCGAGCUCCUCUGGGGAAUCCCCUGGCUCCUGCCCUGACUACCAACAACAGGCCACAGUCUACUGCGAUUCGGGCGAACCGAGGGGCCUCAUCGCCUACUAACGGCUUAACCGGCUUCCAGCACCGCCGUCGUGGUCAUCGACUUCCAGUUGCUCAGAAUUUCGCGCCGUGGAAAUCUGCAUCGCACCAAGGCUUCAACGGGACAGCAUUGGAACGCUCUGCCCCUGGAUCCGGCGCGGUUGCGGACUACGGCAAGCGGCAGCCAUUAACGCCGAAACAGAUAUCGCAGGUGUGGUAGCCAAAGCCCAAAAGCGCUAAAUGGUCUAAUUUUUGCGGUGUCGUAAGCGGAGAGUUCCAGAACUCCAAGGUGAUAGAUCAAUCGUCGUCGAACAAAAGGCUUGGUCUGUUCCGACACUACGGAUUUUUGCGAUUCUGCGAUUCUGCUAGGAAAAAAAACCUGCUUCGUAAUCGUUUUCGAUUGUGAUUGUCCCAUUCUCUUCCGCAAAACGCCGAGCGAGAAGAAAGAAGCAUCGCCUGGCACAAAAGAUCCCACAAUGCAUUGCAAUGGUGUGGGCCAUCCGAUGCCCCAGCCAGAGGAAUACGUGAAAUGUCAGCAACAGUUCAAUUUACUGCUCGCACCGUAUACGUUGUCGGAGUCGAACCGGGUCCCAGCUCCCGGUCCCGGUUGUCGUCGUUUAGUGGAACUUAGCUGAGGCAGCACUUUUUCCUCCCUUGCUCUCGGUCUGAUUCCGGCAAAGCAGAAUUGCAGCAAUGCAUGCGGCCCAUUAUUCCAGGAGGAAGCUCCGAAAUCGAACAACGGAAUCCCAUUUUUCAUGGCUCGAUUUCCUGACUCCUGGAUUGGGCAGGCCAGCGAGCGCAGCAACCGAGAGCUGCGGGAAGAAAAACGAACGAACGAGCGAACGAAUCGAUUGGGACAAACGUGUUUUGCUCGGAAGCGGUUCACUGCGGCAACUUCACGACAUUUUUCAAUUUCCAACCAUAAAUAUUUCAUCUUUUUCCAAUUCAUUACGGCGAGUGGUUUGUGGAUGGUACGAGCGUCAGCGUUAUUUCGCCGUUUGUCGGAGUAUGUUUUAUCUUGUUUUCUCGUGUGGUUUGGCUUUCAAAUUUAGCUGUUAAGAAAUUAUUCACCUAUCGUUUCACUAGGUUAAGAAUUUCACUUUUCACUUUCACCCUAGAUGUAAGCGUUUUAUGAGUGCCUUUCCCCUUUACCUAUAAUUCUUCUAUUGUAUACCUUUUCAAUUUACCUUAGAUCGCAAUGCACGCUGCGGAACUAACGCUUCGGCGCUCCAAACUGACAGCUCAAGCGUUUGUUACACUGUUAUCGCCUGUUAUUUGUUACCCCCACCGACACCGUUCGUUACCGCACUUUGACUUGUUUUUGUUUUGUUUGCCCAUUGCCCUGUUACCCUGUUACCCCCGUUAUCACUGAGAACCACAACCAACGGAUCCAGCUCGGACGCGUUUGUUGUUUGUUGACCAAAUUUCAAAACACCUUCGCCGCUUGGUGGAAUUCGCUCCGGAUUCCAACGACUGACGAAUGACGGUUUUGACAGCUCCGACCUUGGAAUCUGUAACGUUGUCAUGUGGUGUCACAGUGUCCCGUUAAGUUUACCGUUAUUGUUCCCGUUACAUCUUGUCUGUUUUCGAUGUUCAUUGUUGGAGUCACCGCGUUACUAUGCCUAAGCGUUACGCAAUCUUCGUCGCCAUCUUGCGGGAUGCUGCGAUGUUGGUUGAGUACUGCACGAUAUUUGUUGUGUUUGUUUGCACGAUUUACUGAUUAUUGUUGACAUUUUGACAUGUACCUAAGCGUCGUUGCUUGUUUACGUUAACGCCUAGUACGAUGUCAAACUGUUGUGUUUCCGUUUUGUUAUUGAUUGUCCUUUUUGGCAUGUUUGGUUUUUCUAAAUUCCCAUUAUUGUUCCGUUCGUACAUCUGUUUAAGUUUCUGUUAAAGUUUUAGUUAAGUUUCACUCUAAUCUGUUAUUGCGAGAGCUGUCAGUGAGCAAGCAUUGCUGUCUUCUAUUUAUUUUAUUACUUUUGUGUGUUUGUGCUUAGUUUAGGUUAAAAAACUGUGUUGAAUUUCUGCUGCACCUUCUAUACGUAAAAAACUUCAACCAAUUUCGCCUUGCGUGACUUCGACAAUAAUUUUAGUUAAGCUUCUAAAUUUCUCCGGCGAAGGCGAACUGAAACCGUACCACAGAAACCACUUCGUCAGCAAAAAGAAAACAAAAAAAACACCAAUCACAAAUUGCAAACGCUUCAAGCUGGAGCGAAAAUCCACCGUCAGAUGAGAUUAAGCCAAGAUCUAUCGCAUGCCCUCGAACCACAAGACCCGAUAAAACUUUCACUUUACCACACCAACCCACAACAAACGAAUCACAAGUUCAAACGAAAAAAAAGUAAGAAAAAAAAACUGCAAUUGCAAAACUUUUGCAAUUUCGCAACCAUCUUCCCGUGGAAGAGCUUCAGACUGAGAAAAAGUAGGAACACAAGCCAAGACGCAUUUGUCACUGUUACCCACCCAUCCACUAUCAUUCCCAACACUCCCCACCACCACCACCACAAAUUGUUGUCUGUUGAUUCAGGUUGUUACACUUGUUAUUGCUUUAUUUGUUAUCUAGUUUUUAGGAUCGAACCGCGCGACUUGUUAACUAGUUUUCCUAAGUGUUACAGAAUGUUUUAUUCACGCCCCUCCCCACAAAGACACCCCAACACAUUCCGAUGUGACUUUUUUCUGACAGUAAGAGUGAGUGGAGAAGUCAUCCCUUGCAAGGUGACUUCUCGUUGUUUUCGUAACCAUUCCAUAUAGUUACGUUCCGGUAAAAAUACCAAAUCACAGUAGAAAAAACCGCGCGCGCUGUUAAGGUUAUGUUUAUAUUAUGAAAAGUUUGUUACACGACAACCCCGUUCGUUACCCGUACAUAAAAUUAAAAAAAAACCCGAUCGUUACCGAAAGGUUUUGUUAGCUUUGUUAAUGUUUUUCUUUUCUUGUUAUGAAUCCGUUCAGAUCAGCAUCUCGUUUUUGUUAUGUUUGUUUUGGUUCCGCGAAAAAUUUCCAGAAGAAGCAGAAGAAGAAAAGGCGUCAAAUCAGGUUAAUUUUGAAUCUUUCUUUCAAGUAGGCUAGGUUUGAUUUAGAGUGUAAUGUUUCAGGUACCCAUUUUUUUCGGCGUUAGGUUUUUCAAUUUUUCUAAAUUUUUACUCUUUAAAAAACACUUUUUUAUUAUUCAUUCAACUAACAUUAAAUUAACACAUCAACUUUAUGCUAAGCUUUUCAUUGUAUAAGGAUAAUCUUAAUAGUUAAGCAAAAAAAAUACUAACUUAUUCCAUUUUCUAAAUAACAAAAAAAAAAUAGUUUGCGUGUGAAUAAGAGUGAAUGGAAGUCACUGAAUAAAACAUUAAAACAAGACAAA